rnacentral:tRNA from 1 species
GUCUCAGUGGCGUAGUGGUUAACGUACGAACCCCGCUUAAGCGUGAGACGCGGGUUCGAAUCCCGCCUGAGGUG